rnacentral:lncRNA from 1 species
AGUCGGCGAUGAGGAGAUACCUACUGUGUUGAAUUAUGGUGAUAUUUCUUAUACGCUAUUCUGAGCCGAUAGGCUAACUUGUGUAAAUACGGUUCGAGUCAUUCUGAAAUAACUGAAAGACCAUGUGUUGUUCACCUGCAGUUUGUGCGGACUUGAUCAGAGGCGCAAAGGAGAAGAAUCUGAAAGUGAAAGGACCAGUGCGCAUGCCUACCAAGACACUGAGAAUCACUACCAGAAAAACCCCUUGCGGUGAAGGUUCCAAGACGUGGGAUCGUUUCCAGAUGAGAAUCCACAAGCGACUCAUUGACUUACACAGUCCUUCAGAGAUUGUUAAGCAGAUUACUUCCAUCAGUAUUGAGCCUGGAGUGGAGGUUGAAGUCACCAUUGCAGAUGCCUAAGUCAACUGUUUAAAUAAAUUGACUUAAUUGUUAAGUUU